GUCGGGUCUCCAUUAUGGUAUAUUCUAAAAUGAUUGGAGAGGGAAUGUUUCUCAAAGCCCCUUUUGAUAUUGUAAACAUGUUCUCUAAGUCUGAUCUUGAGUGUUCUCUUGGUUUGUCCCACAUAUUGGAGGCCGCAAGGGCACUCCAACAAAUAGAUGACCUGUUUGGUGUUACAAGUAAUACAAUCUUUGAUGUCAAAUAUUUCUUUUGUAACUGAGGACUGAAGAGUAGUGUAGUUUUUCCCUUUAGAACUCAAUUUACAUAUAUGGCAAUUUCCACAUUUAUAAAACCCUUUUUGGCCGGUUAAAAAAUGAUGGGGUCCUAUUGGUUUAUUACAGCUAUGUACCAGUCUGUUUUGCAAUGUUGGAGCCCCCCUAAAGAUUACUCUCGGUUGUAUAGGUAAAAUUGCAGCUAGAACAGGGUCUUGUCUGAGCAAGUGCCAAUGUUUUUGUACACUUCUUUUUAUACAUUGUGCUUGUGUACUAUAG